UUUUAACAUCUACUCUAUUUAUACACUCUUUGCCAAGAAAAGUCUCAGUUUAAUAUCCCUCUAUUAUUUUUAUUUUGACCAGAGUUAAAUCUUCCAUAUAUGUUGAUAUUACUUCCUUAAGGAAAAAUAUUUCAGAGUUAAUUGAAUUUAAUGCAAGAUCUGAAUGGAGAAGUCAAUAUUGUUGGAUUCUUUACCAAAAAAAUUAAUGUUAGAAAAGUUAAAAUCACAGUGAUGGAGUAUAUUAUUAUAAAUAUAUAAAUAAAAAUUGAUUUUUUUUGCUCAAUAUAUAUAUUAUAACUUGAUUGUUGGAUUCUUUCCCAAAAAAAUUAAUGCAGGAUCUUUACUUUUCUUAAAUCACUCUACUUUUUUUUUUAAAUCACUCUACUUUCCACUAAAUAUUUAAAUACUCUUUUAUUUUUUCGUGCAAAAGUUCAAUUUCUAUGAAUUUUUCAAAGAAAGUGCUUUACUUUCUUAUUUUGUAAAUGUACAUCUUUUUUUUUCUCAACACAUGUAUAUCUAUUUAACAAUUGUAAUUAGUAAUUACACAGAGAUUUGAUUAUUGCAUGUUAUUGUUUGUAUCAUUGAAUUCAGCUUAGACUAAAAAACCUUUACAAAAAUAUAUGGAUAAAAUGUAAACAAUGCAAAAAGACAACAAAUCUAAGCAGAGCCACCAGCCCUUGGACCAAGCCAAUGAAACACAUGCUUCCGGCCAAUAUAUUUAAGAAACUAUUCCGGCCACAAAUUUUUGAAAAGACUGUCUUAGUCUAGUGGUAUUAACUCUAGAAAUUAGACUUUGUUUUACCAAUCUGGUUCAACUCUCCUAUACAACAUAUUUUUUCUCUAUUUUUUUAAGAAAGCGGCCACAUUUUUUUGUGUGCUUCCAGUCUUAUUAAACCUAAUAGAUUCUUAGAGCAAGCUCAAUGGUUAGAACCUAUUAUGAAUUCUAAUGAAUAAUUUAAUAGUUAAUUUUGUGAUUUAAGGAGUUUAGAACCUUUCUUAGAGUAAUUAAUUUUUUUUGGGUCCAAUGGGAGAAUCUCUUUGGGGUUUUUAAUUUUUUUUAAUAGAAGUUGAAUGAUUGGAUUUUGUUUUUGAAUGAUUAAAUUUAAUAACAUAAAAAAGCAUACAUAAGAAGUUUAAAUAAAAAUGACAUCAUCGUAGGAGAAAAUGGGGUGAUCUAGAUUGGAGGAGGAAAGAGAGAGACAUAAAUGGGAGGUCGAAUAAGAACGUGACACAAUAUGCCUUAAGAGACACUGAUGGAGGUGGUCUUAAAUAUGGGCUUUAGAUACCAGAAUUUAAAAACAAUGUAGGGGCGCCGAAACAGUUAGAGGUCUCAUAGUGUAGUGGUUCAUGAACUCUUCUUCUCGCCCUUCAAGCGACAGGUUCGAAACCUACUUUCCUUUUCCCUUAAAUCUUGCCUUUUAUAAUUAUGAUAGUAAAUGCAACAAGAUCAAGAUA